rfam:Larimichthys crocea isolate SSNF unplaced genomic scaffold scaffold252, whole genome shotgun sequence.
GUCAGGAUGGCCGAGUGGUCUAAGGCGCCAGACUCAAGGCUUCAAUCCUUCCUGAACAAAGGGACUUCUGGUCUCCGAAUGGAGGCGUGGGUUCAAAUCCCACUCCUGACA